GUUGCUCAGAGGGACUGGGUGAGAGUGAUGGGUUUUCUGCCUCUGGGGUGUCCAUGCUGAGGCUAGAUGCCAACUUGUUUGUGACAUCAACGAUAUUAUGGAGGGUUUAUGGUGGGUUGAGUGUUGGAGGAGAACAGUGGUUUCCAGACCAUCCAACAUCCCCCAAACUGCUGUUGUAGGAUAAAGAGUGUUAUGGAAAACCCAUAACAGUGCUGGGAAACAAGACGGAACUCUCAAUGACCUGAAAUUUUGAGGAACCCUAGUAAGAUGGAUGACCAGUAAAAUUGGAUGAAAGGGGAGUCCUGCCCCAAGUGAAGGUAGAAAGGCUGUGCUGUAAAAUAGAGACCAAGCUCUUUUUAGGAUUCCAAGAUCUGAGACUGCUGACAAAGGAGACUGAAGUAGUUCCAAGGAUGGUAGUUUGGAAACCUGAGUAAGAGUGGCCCCACCACUAAUGGUCCAGCUGUGUUGCACCUGCAUAAGAGUGACCCCACCACUCAUGGUACAGCUGUGUUGCACAGCAGCCAGCAAAAUGGCCACUCAGAGACAACCUUUCAAAGAGCUGCUUGGGGGUGUGUAGGAUAAUGAAUAGAGGAUUGGGCAAGCUGCUGGAUCAGAAGAUAAAAGAAGUCUCCUUUACAGAUGGCCCAUCCUCAGCAUUGGCUUGAAGACACAUAGAUCUUAUCCAAAAUGUCUGUCUGAGGAACUACUGAAUUUCCUUUUACUUUAACAACUGGAUGAAUGCAACUCAGUUCAACUGUCAUUUCCCUCUAGUGAUUAUUCAUUACAGAUGACUGAUAAAUAGUUCAAAAAGUCAUGCUUACACAAUGUUGAAUACCAACUUUAAAAUGUAUUACUUCAACAAUUUCAAAUAAACUUCCAAGCAAGAA